GUAGAGGAGAAGCGAAAUCAGUAAUAUUGUUUCUAGCAGUGGUGAGAGGAUGAAGAUGUUCCGUGUCAUCAGCAUCGGUAUAAUUAACUAACAUCCACUGUUCCUCUGUUAGAAGCUGUUCCUAGUCAACACCACUACUUGCAUCAAGGAUAACAACUUCAACACCAGUUAGGAUUGUAUUUUAAAUGAUAUUUUGUGGAGUUUUAAAUAAGUCCUCUGGAAUAGUCCGUUAGGAUAUUAAUUUAAACUGUAUCUUCGGAGUUUAAAUAAAUGGAUUCAUAGAAAUAAAUUAUUCUUGUGGAUAUUUUAAUUCGGAUUUUUCUGUGAUGAUAACAAUUUCAGUAUUAAUUUGAUCGGAGUCGGAACCCGUGUUACAUUGGUUAGAAUAAUACUGUAUCAGUUUGGUAACAAUUUACCUAGUGGACAACACUUGACAAUUUUUCAAUAUGGUCAUAACCAUUCUUUGUCGAUUUGCUUCGGCAUUUAACUUUAUAUUUUUAUGGACCGUAUUAAUAGAAUUUAACAAUCAGAUUUUUGCCAUGGAGGAAGUGUCUUUGUAUAAACAUCCACUACGGAUGCCUUGUCGAUUCCCGGUAAAACGUCAAACUUAUGUUCGAGAUCCCCUGGAUUGUAGUAUAUUUUAUACGUGUUAUGGAAACCGUUAUUGGCGAAUGACUUGCUCCACGCCUCACACCAUAUGGUCUUUGAAAUAUAAAGUCUGCGUCUGGCAGAACACCGCUUUUGACGACUGCAACUACGCGAAUACUAAAACGACUUCCCCGCUACCAAGGGACGAUUUAAAACAGAAAGAUUUUGAUACAUCGAACGAACUGGAGAUUAAACCCGAACCGUGGGAAAAAACCACGAGAUAUUGGGUGACGUGGAAAACCGGAACAACAGUCCAGCCAUAUACGCCCUUUGUUCCUUUUUCUACAUCUACACAAACUUCAUCCACAUUUUCCACGACCCCGGCUGUAACUUCGCGCACAACAAAAAUGUUUAAACAUGUGAAACCAGUCGUCGUGAUUGAGCGGAAAACCCCGCAGCCUAAAUUUACAUGGAGGACAAUACACGAAAAAACUACCACGUCAAAGAAAUCGCUGAAAACAGUGUCCAAAAAUCCUUUUUCGUGGCGGUCACCGUCCACUGCUCGACCGACAACACCAAGGCCGAAACGCACGACGACCAAAGCGACAACAAAACGUCCCACUACAUCUUCAAGAACGACCGAUCGACUCACGUCAACAAGGUCAACAACUACUCGCAGGCCCACGACGGUCCGAACGACGCCAAGGCCAACAACGCCUCGACCAACAACGCCUCGACCAACAACAAAAACCACAAAUCGACCAACGACGGAAAUAACGACCUCAAAAGCACGUGCCCGCUUCACAUGGGAUCCAAAUUUCUGGAAGCAGUUAACCAAGAAACCCUUCAGAGCAACUACUAGGAAACCAUUUUGGAAUAUUAUUACCAAACGCCCUGUUAUCUGGAUUCCAAGACAAACAAAACCGGUCGUCACUGAAAAGCCUACCAGGGCAACGAUAAAGAUUCCUAUUGAAUGGCAACGUUUAAACGAAUCGCCUUAUACUCGGAAUCCGACACUAAGUAAAACCACCAAAAAGCCUAAAAUUGUCACCCGUAAGCCUAGUACACCGCGACCUCCGUCAACAACGAAAAGGCCUACAAAAACGACAACGCCACCGAGAACAACACCGACAACAACAAGACGUAAAGUUACCUGGUUACCAAGAACCACAUGGAGGCCAACGACCAGAAUAUUAACGACCCCGAGUACGACAACAUCUACGACAACAGCCAUUACAACCACCCUUGCGGCAACCCGAGACAUAACAUCUCCACAGAUCGUUGAACGGAAUACGGAAAUAAAUUUAAGAUCAGAUACUACGAUUACGGUACCUACUGUGACGGAACCACCAUCAACUAGUAUAUCAAUAGAAGAACUAACGACUCUUCAAGAAGAAAUAGCUAACAGUAGAAAUUCAGAUAAGUGUGGUGUUAUGCCAACCCCGUUAAUUAUUGGAGGUAAGCCAUCUUCUCCUGGUCGCUGGCCCUGGCAGGUGUCCCUACAAAUCAUUGCAGCUAUUGAACCUUGGCACCGAUGUGGAGGAGUUCUAAUCCAUCCUAACUGGGUAUUAACAGCGGCUCAUUGUGUUGAGGGACCAUUCUAUGGCGAUUUAAGGAAUUGGCGAAUUGUACUGUCGGAAGAUAAUUUAAACGAAGGAUCUGGUCGAGAAGUUUAUAGAAGAAUAUCGAGAAUAGUUGCGCAUCCAGGCUAUAUAAGAACUAGUAACUUUCCCAAUGACGUGGCACUACUACAAAUGGAUGAAGCAGUAGACACAAGUACCGGGGAAUCGAGAGUAGCCUGUUUACCUGACUUACAUGCUGAAAUACCACCUAAUGCCAACUGUUGGUUGAGUGGAUGGGGAGAAACCAGGGGCACAGGAGGUAAUGAAAAUUCCAUGAACGAACUGCAAGUGGAAAUUUUACCAAACUGGCUGUGUUCGUCCAUGUGGAGGCGAGUUGGUAUCCAUGUACUGGAUGACCAAGUAUGUGUAGGAUAUGGUGAUACUGGUGCCUGUUACGGAGAUUCCGGUGGCCCAUUGAUGUGUGAGCUAGAUGGAAGAUACUAUGUCACUGGAGUCAUGUCAUGGCUAAUUAAUAAUUGUUCCGCCCGAGGCUUCCCGAACGUCUUCACCAGAGUAACCAGUUACACUGAUUGGAUAUACGAAAAAUUAGAAUACUAUGAUUGGUGGCAUUAAACCCACAGCUAACCAAUCAUAGGCAGCGAAAUAGCAUAAUAAAGUCUGUUAUAAAAGGAGAUUAGACAAUGCUGUUCAAAAUGGUGGCGUUGCGUCCUACUCCGAUGAGCAUAAUAUUAAAGCCAACUGUGAUUUAGGUGCAUAUAUUCACAAAGAUUAAAAAUAGUUUAAUAAGUGUAUAAUAAGGUGGGGAGGAUUUGUAUAUAAAUAAAUAAACGUUAUAGGUAUACGGAUAUUAGUACCAAUAUCAAAUAAUCUUACUUAUUUUAGGGGAAAAGUUAUGAAAUAAUCCGAGUUGGCAAAUCUAGAAUAAAAUUUUGGCACUUUGAUGGAAUUACGAUAUUUAGAUUGUAGGUAUACAAAUAUAAGUACGGAAAUAAAAUCAUCUUUCUAAUUUUUUGGAAAAAGAAAUUCUCAAAUAAUUGAGUUGAUAAGAACUAAAUUUCGGCACUUUAUUGUAAUUGUGAUGUUUUUUUGAAACCUUCUUAGAACAUUUAACAGUAUUAAGUAUCAACAGACAACUAUACAAAGCAUUUAAUCGAAUUUGGUUUAAUCUUGAUAAAAUUGCCAAAAAUAAAAAUGGUUGAUUUAUUUUGAAUAAUGAAAAGUGAGCAACAUGCCAACCAUUCCUGCCAAGAAGUAUAUAUAUAUAUUUUAUUUUAUGUGUGUAUAUAUAUAAGUCUUUAUUGAGAAAGAGGUAAGCAAUACUCUAGAAUAAGACAAGAGGUGACGAAUUACUACCACGUGUCUAGAUUUAUAUCGUCGAUGUUACAAGUAAUGUCGUAAGUAACCGGAAUGAAUUUUCUUGAUUGAGUUUACAAAUAUUUGAAAGCAUUUGAUACUUUGACAAACUUUGGGGUAAGAGUUGGAAGGUAAAAAAAAUACGACGCUUUUCCUUUGGGGGAAAAGUUUGCAUCAUGGGUUCUAGAAAGUGACUGAAUCUGAGGUUGCAUCUGGAUUUAACAAAGGAAGCCGAUUACAAUGAAUUUCUUGAGGUAGAGUGGAAUAUUAUGUACUAUGUGAUUUUGUAUUAUGAAUUAUCAUAAAAUGAUGUGCAUAUUUGAUAUGAGAUAAAUGAAAGGAGUUAUCGACAAUCCAUGCGUUAACAGAGAAUUACUAAACCAUAAUCUUUUUAUCAUAUUAUAUUAUGUUCAAAAGUCGAAAAAUCAUUUAAUUUUCAUUAUAACGUAAAUUAUAAAAAUGCUCAUAUCAGUAAAUUUUCAAAAUUUGUUAAAAUGAAGCACAAUCUGUAACUUUUGAAACGUGAUAGGUGCAUUUGUAAGUCCGAAGGACUUGAGAUUAAAAACUAAAUUUACAAACACCUGUGUCUUGCAAUAAAUGUACAUAAUUGAAGUGUACAUCACAGAAGUGUUCAAAUGGUGAUCAUUCAAGUUUUAAAAAAAAACAAGCAUAUGUUGCAAAGGAUUGACGAUAACUAUCUGCAUCAACCUAGGCUUGCCAGAUCAAAUUUAGCCUCUCUUAUAUUAUUGAAUGAAGACCUAAGUGUAUAUGUAAGAUCUUUUCUAUGGCAAAACUCGACAUCAACGACCAUUUAGUAAAGUUUACCAUUCAAUUUCCUCUUUAAAUAAUCGUCAAGACUAUUUUGCAAAAUAUUUUUGUAGCGUUAUAAAACUUAUUGUAAUAAUAAGAAUACUGCUUUUUCAUUUCAAGUGUAAUUCAGACUUACUAAAUGGUUUUUGAUUAAUUCAUUAUAAUAUGGCUCAAUGUUCAUGGUGUCUUGUCAUGAUGAACUUGCAGCAUAUUUUAAUGGCAUGUUAUAAUGGUACAAAUUUUUAGUACUGUUUACUCUAUGCAAUUUCGAAUUAAUAUGAAUGAUUGCUAGAAUAUUUGACCCAAAAAAUAUAAUUUUCUAUUUUGAAUGUCAAUCUAAGCUGAAUCAAAGUAUUGUUUUUUCUGAAUUGUGUUCCAUAAACACAGUAUUCAGAUUGCUAAAACGUACGCCUUAAAUAUUGGCAAUGUUGUGUAUUUUGUCAGGAAAGAUACAACACUGAAAUCAUCAAUACACUUUGAUUCAGUUCGAUUAUUCAAAAUUAAUUUUUUAAAUAUAUCGACGCUGAGAAAACUUGCCUGUAGCAUGUUUAAAAGGGAAAUAAGGUUUGUUUCUGGAAUGCAUUCCAGCAUGUUUGUAAAUAGUGUUUAUAAAGUAUGAUAUUUUUUAUAUUUGUGUAUUUAUUUUGUGAUACAAGCUUUGUUUGUACUUGCUCCAAUAAAUAAAACAUAUAAAUAAAACAAAAUAUUUCAUUUUUUUUUCCUUCUUUUUCUUAUCGUUUCCAAAUAAUGUUUGCAUGGAAUCCGUAGGUCCAUUGUGUUACCAGACUUUACGCCAACAUGAAAGGACUCUCCCUUCAACACAGAAUCUUUUCCUUUGCAUCCUUUUGAACAGGUCAGUUUUUAAAUUCCGUUUCUUGCAUAUCAGCAAAUCCAUUGCAGAGCUCGUAAGUCUUGUUUCUUUACGAAAUGGCUUAAUGCAUGCGCACCGUGUAACUCAAAAAGGCAGUUCAUUAAGGAAUAUUGAGGACUUGACGAUUCCCGGAUUUUCCCUAAGAAGAAUGGACCAGCGAGGAAAGAUUGGUGGUAUCGCAUGAAAUCUUCUGAUUCUAAUAAAGUACAAUCACGCAUGUCUCCCCGAGAAAGACACCAGUAGACGAAUUUAGAACGAACUGGAUAAUAGAGAGCAGGUACAGAUCAGGGCUCGUUUAAAUCAUAGUUUACCUUUAAAUCAUAGUGUAUUUCAACUGGAUUGUUUUCUCUGUAUGUGGUAACCACGACAACAUCAACAACUGUUUUAUAUUUCAUUUGUGUAACUUUUUUUUGUCCCUUACAGUUUUUGUGUAGUAUAGAAUAUCAUAUGCGGAUAUUUUAUUGUUUUUGGUUUCGUCUUCUUUGUUGAAGGAAAAUUGUUACUCCCACGUUCUUCGUGUGUUCUUAGAUGUCAAGGUCAUUGAACGACACGUUUAAAGGUAUUGUCUUGGAUUAUUCCUCUCUUCAUUUAAAUGUUCUGUGAAGGUUAUUUGAAGGCAAUUGUACAGUCCGAAGUGAAGGACUCGAAAGGUUGGUUUUAUUAGGUAUGUUAGAUAUUGUUCAACAAUAAAUAAAAGUAAAAAAGAUAGUAUAAAAAAAAGAUAGUAUAAUAUAUCUAAAUAUGGGCAAAGAGAUGUGCCAUUUGCAGAUAUCUGAUUGGAUGCGCUGCGAUGCGAUGCGUAAUGAUUACAUAAGGAAUGAUUACGUAGCACAUAACUAAGUAGCAUGAUGGAGAAAGAUAAGUGAGCACACUGGCUAUUAAUAAAUUCCCAUGGCAUAACCAAUCAAAGGUUUCUGCACAAAUAACAUAACAAUAAUUUGAAAACUAGUAAAUGCAUGCUAACUUUGAACGGUAGUAAAAAAUGGCGGGACAGGUUGGAGCUUGAUGCUGAAAUCAGGUGAGCAUUUAGUCCACUAACAAAAUGGUUUGUUUGAUGUUUGUUUUGUUUUUGUCUUCUGUGUCAACAAUUCUAAGUAAAAAUAGGUUUUAAACAAGCAUUUGGAGGAGAACUGUAAAUGUAUCUGUAUGAACUGGAGAAGAGACGAUCGUGUUCUAGCAGAUAAAUAUGUAAUGUAUAUUUGAUAUUAAGGAUUAAAGGUAAGUUCCUUACAGUAUUUUCUCCUUUUUUUCGUUUAACACAUCGCUGGAUAUAUAUUUACAACAAAAAAAAAUGUGUAUUUUGCAUUAUUAAUUUUGGAUAAAUAUUACUUUCAUUUGUAUAUUGUAAUUGUUCUUUGAUCUCAUUAGGUGAGUCAUCCAGGGAGUGAGUGGUCGAAUGGUUAACGCGUGUGCGUUGUAUCAUAAGGUCUGUCCUUGAGUCGAGUGGCGUGGAUUCGAUUCUCCGGUUGUACGUGACAAGGAGUAGGAUCGCCGGUGUCCUCCCACUGCUAAAGACCCAUAGUCCUAUUUUAGUCCCGAAAUGACAUAGUAAGUGUUAAGUGGAAGUUAACCCCCCCCCCCCUCUCUCUUUCUCUCUCUCUCUUGAAUCCUAUAAAACUUUAGUGGUGAUUUUCCGCCAUGUUACAGGUUGGUAGUCUGCAGUAAUGAACUGGUAUGACAUUGAAGACAGCCACAGCAAAGUACUAUUCCACGUACCUGUUCUCUGAUGGUGAAGCUUAAAUCGCGAGGAUUUCCAUGAGUGUGGACUAGCUUAGAAGGAGAGCGAACAUUUAAAUAGGUUAAGUGUUUGAUCAAUCAAAAUUUAAAAACCUGUGACCUCUUUUGGCAGAUCUGAAUGCGAGUCUAGUUUGCAUCGAAUGUACAUCCAAAGUGUUUUUCCAGAUUGCAGUAAAACCUAAACAAUUUGCUACAUCUGGUUUUGAUUGAGCUACAGUCGUGCCAACAUCUAUCAUGAAAGUAUGCAACUCUGAUAGAUGUCUUGGAACAAACGGUAGUCCAGAUCAGCGCACCCCAUCAGUCAAGCCGAAAAUUUAUUCUAGAACUACGUAAUACGCAUAGACCUCGACAGGCAAUUGGAGACAUCCUAAAGUUAGGUAUAUAAUUAGCCGUAUACUGUGGAAUUCCACAGGUGCAAUUCAAAUUGUCAGUAGAACAGUGAUUAUAUUCCCCAUGCUA